AUCACGGCUCUACUAAGAGCCACAUCAAUUUAAACUGCCAUCUCUC
rfam:Apaloderma vittatum contig85756, whole genome shotgun sequence.